UCAUAUCUUAAAUCAUUAUCAGAUAUGCUUAUUUCGUUAUACAACAAAGGAUCAUUAAAUGUAUUAAUAAUAGUAUUAGUAGUGGUACUGUUAAUCACUGAUGCUUUGAGUGUUGAAGUAUCGGUUAUAUUGAAAAACUGUUUCAAAACGAAUUUUCCAUUUGGGCCCCAAAACGCUCACUGUGUAGUAUUAUUGCAAUAGUAAUAUUUAAAAAGCGAGGCGCGAUGCGCGAUUCCCGCCGGCUACUAGUGUGACGCAAUCAUUGUGGAGGGGAUACAGUCUCCGGCCCGAUAGACUGUCGACGGUCCCGAUCGAGCCGUAUAUCGAUAAUAACGAGGAUAAUAAUAUCGAUUCUAAAAUGGAUUUAGAAAGAGAGUUCGAGAUUCCUGGUCAUGAAGUAAUUAAUCCUCAAGAAGCCAUCCCUGAUAAUCGCGUGUCCCAAAACCAUAACGUAGUACUACCAUCAUAUGACGAAUCGGACAACUACAACAUUACUAGAGAAAUUGUUGAAAUCAACGAACCACAAAGUGACGAAUUAUCAAUACUAAAAGAAAAUAAUGAUAGAAACGAAAUUAAAGGAUCGAUAGAACAGGAGCCAAAAGGUGAGUCCAAAGUUUAUAUUAUAAAAAAAAAUUAUAUACUUGUACAAAUAUAAUAAAAAAAAGAAAAAUGAAAAAUUGAACUUAAAAAUGGAAUUAAAAAUGUGUACACAGAAAUAUAAUUGAAAAUGGUGAACAGAGAGAACAGAAGCCGGAAGGUAAGUUUAAAGUUUUAUUAUGUUUUAUUAAAAAGUAUUUAAGCUUCGGACAAUUUUAGAACUACAAAAAAAAUAUACAAAAAAAGGAACGAUUAGAACCAGGAAAAAAUUCAAAGAAAUUAAAUCAGAAAGAUUAAAAGCGUAUAAAGAAAGCAUUAAAAAUAAACAUCAGGUGACAGAAUCCUGUGACAAAAAUAAAUGUAAAAAACAAUGUAUCCCUUCUAUAGACGAUGAAAGGCGAAAGGAAAUUAAUAAUAACUACUGGAAUUUAACCUGGAUUGAAAAGAAAACAUUUAUUUUAAAUUCGAUUUCGCGCACGAACGUAAAAAGAAGAACUACUCUUGUAGAAAAUCCUGUGAGAUCCUUAAACAUUAUUAUAAAGACAGUAAAGGGGAAAAACAUAAUGUGUGUAAAAUUUUUUUCCUUACAACCCUGGGAUACAAAAGAAGUAAUGAUUGGGCCAUUCAAAGUUUUGUAAUUGGAAAAGAAAACUCUCCGAUAAACCGAGUAACCUGUCCCAACCCAAACUUGAUGGACGAGGUCGUAGAUCAUAUAGAAAGCUUCCACCCAACCAUUUCCCAUUAUCGGCGAGAGCACGCCCCAAAUCGCCGCUAUCUUCCAAGUGAUAUAAAUGCUACUUUUAUGCAUAAAGAUUUCUUGGAGAAAUAUCCUCAAAAUACGUGCUCAUAUGAAGUGUACAGGAAGAUAAUUAAACAAAAAAACAUUUCUUUUACCCAGCUUGGUCAGAAGAAUUUAAACUUCACAAUCCGCAACACAAUUCUGAAUCACUUAAACUGGACUGUAAAAAUUGUGAUAAAUGGAAUACACAUAUUCUUCAAGCCAAACGAUCAAGGGAAUUGUAUCAACAAGAUUGUGAAAAACCAGAGACAAAUGACACUUUAAGAGUCUCAGUUGACUUACAAAAAAUAAUAAUGUUACCCAGGAUUGAGAUGUUCAAAAAGGCUAUAUUUCCCCAGAGAUUAAUUGCAUAUAAUGAAAGUUUUGUCCCGAUAGGUAAAAAAAGGAAACAAUCAUCACCACAUGCUGUACUUUGGCUUGAAGCUGUGUCCGGUCGGUCUAAAGAAAACAUUAUAAGUUGUUUUUAUUCCUUUUUCUUGCAUAAUAGAGAUUAUAAAAACUUUGUUAUUUGGCUUAAUAAUUGUGCAUCCCAGAACAAAAACUGGGCUUUCUUUACUUUUCUUAUUUUUCUAGUUAAUUCAGAACAGAUUGCCGCAGAACAAAUUGUGCUAAAAUAUUUUGAGACUGGACAAACCUUCAUGUCAGCGGAUAGCUUCCACCAUCAGGUGAAGCUUUCACUGAAACGUCAAAAAAAAACAUACGAUUUCCAA
rnacentral:lncRNA from 1 species